GAUGAACGCUAGCGGGAGGCCUAACACAUGCAAGCCGAGCGGUAUUGUUUCUUCGGAAAUGAGAGAGCGGCGUACGGGUGCGUAACACGUGUGCAACCUGCCUUUAUCUGGGGGAUAGCCUUUCGAAAGGAAGAUUAAUACUCCAUAAUAUAUUGAACGGCAUCGUUUAAUAUUGAAAGCUCCGGCGGAUAGAGAUGGGCACGCGCAAGAUUAGCUAGUUGGUGAGGUAACGGCUCACCAAGGCGAUGAUCUUUAGGGGGCCUGAGAGGGUGAUCCCCCACACUGGUACUGAGACACGGACCAGACUCCUACGGGAGGCAGCAGUGAGGAAUAUUGGUCAAUGGGUGCAAGCCUGAACCAGCCAGCCCGCGUGAAGGACGACUGCCCUAUGGGUUGUAAACUUCUUUUGUAUAGGGAUAAACCUACCCUCGAGAGGGUAGCUGAAGGUACUAUACGAAUAAGCACCGGCUAACUCCGUG
rnacentral:rRNA from 1 species